rnacentral:misc_RNA from 1 species
CGACUACACCCUGAGCAACUUUUAGUUUUAAGGUGUCACCUAAAUAUCGAGCAUCACUCCCUUUUGUCAUAGCUUCAAGAGAACCCAUUCCUCUAUACUUCUUCACUCGUCGACCACCCUGAUUCUCAUAAACUCCAGGAGCCUCAUGGCUACCAGCUAGGAAACUCCCCAUCAUAACAGAAGAUGCCCCUAGUACCAAAGCCUUCACUAUGUGCCCAGAGUUUGAAAUCCCCCCAUCAG